rnacentral:rRNA from 1 species
UACGAAGGGGGCUAGCGUUGCUCGGAAUUACUGGGCGUAAAGCGCACGUAGGCGGCUUCUUAAGUCGGUGGUGAAAUCCUGGAGCUCAACUCCAGAACUGCCUUCGAUACUGGGAAGCUCGAGUCCGGGAGAGGUGAGUGGAACUGCGAGUGUAGAGGUGAAAUUCGUAGAUAUUCGCAAGAACACCAGUGGCGAAGGCGGCUCACUGGCCCGGUACUGACGCUGAGGAGCGAAAGCCAGGGGAGCAAACGGG